UAGGUCAGUAUGCCCCGAAUGUCCCGGGCUACACGCGGGCUACAAUGGCUGGUACAAUGGGUAUCUACCCCGAAAGGGGAUGGAAAUCUCCUAAAGCCAGUCGUAGUUCGGAUUGAGGGCUGCAACUCGCCCUCGUGAAGCUGGAAUCCGUAGUAAUCGCAAAUCAANAGUUUGCGGUGAAUACNU
rnacentral:rRNA from 1 species